rnacentral:misc_RNA from 1 species
ACCUGCUAGGUUGGGAUUGGAUUAAUUUACCGUUUAGAAAAUUAACCAUGUUGAGUUCGCAUGCAUAUCUGCAUUACAAAAUCGCACUAUGGCGACACAACAUCAGCAAUGCAGUGUUACAAAUUGAUACCGAAAGAACCCUGAAAAACUUUCAAAAUUCAUGGAUUAACACCUGCAGCAGAUCCAACAAUUCACACCAGUAAUUCAAUCCAAUCCCAACCUAGCAGGUAGCAGAAAUGGAUACUAAUAUGGUCACCUCUGGGCCCCAGGUUUUUAGUAUGGAUAACCAGAAGUGCAUUCCGUGUCCUUCCAGGAUAUCAUCUUCCUGCGAUCCCUUCCUCUAAAUGAUCUGGCAAGAAGCCUACCACUAACAGGCUUACACAUGCCAACAUCAACCACAGAAGUACUCCUUUUUUCACAUGGAGAUGCAUCAUCCAUUAAAUAGUCAAACAACAUUGCUAGAUAGCCCACCUGAUGAGAUAAGAUAUAGUUUUCUUGAUCCAAAGGUAGCAUCCUUAGCAUGAAAAGAUUGACCUCUGCUUCCAUGGCACGGAGUUCAUUGCACCAUUCAGAGCCAUCACUCUCAACAUGAUUUUCUCCACUAGAGCUAAGACUCACAGCAAAAAGAGGAGGCCUAAGAGGAUACUCCAUGCUGAUUUUAAUCUUUGCUUCUAACUUAAUAUUCCUCCUUGUUAAGACAAGAGAAUAUUCUUUAACCCCAUAAUCCACCCAUGGGUUUUCGACUAUCUUAUGGCAAGCUUCAUUUUCUGCUUCUAGCUCGAGUGGUGCAAGCUCAUCCAGAUCACUAUCAAUGUCCAGCAACAUAUCGGAAUCCUCAUCAUGUUUCUUGAAACUUAGUGAUUUCGUCUUAUUAAUAGGGGAUAUAAUACUCUUUGAAAUUAAAGCCAGCUGCCUGCUAUGCUCUAGAUUAGAUAUUUUUGAAGGAGUAAGCUUAACAUCAUUCACAAUAGAAGCAACCAAGGAUGGAAGCUCUCCAUCUUCCCUAGCACUCUCUGACUCUUCCUUUGAAGUACGAGAUCUUCGGUCCACAUCAGCAUCCAUGGGUUCCUGAACUUGAUCUGUGUCAAUGACAGGCACAGAUGAAGUCUGAUUGGGUGGGGGCCCAGCAGGUGACCAACCAUUCAAAUUGCAUAAGGGAGUAUGUAAAGCCCAUGGAACAUUUUCACAAUUCAAACAAGGCCAUUUAAGCUUCACAAGUGAAUCAAGCUGUUCCACAAGAGCCAGCUGAGCCCUUUUCCGAG